AUUGAACGCUGGCGGCAGGCCUAACACAUGCAAGUCGAACGAGUGGCGGACGGGUGAGUAAUGUCUGGGAAACUGCCUGAUGGAGGGGGAUAACUACUGGAAACGGUAGCUAAUACCGCAUACCAUCAGAUGUGCCCAGAUGGGAUUAGCUCGUUGGUGGGGUAACGGCUCACCAAUGCGACGAUCCCUAGCUGGUCUGAGAGGAUGACCAGCCACACUGGAACUGAGACACGGUCCAGACGCCGAGGGGAGGCAGUAGUGGGGAAUAUUGCAAAAUGGGCGGAAGCCUGAUGCAGCCAUGACGCGUGUAUGAAGAAGGCCUUCGGGUUGUAAAGUACUUUCAGCGGGGAGGCGUUACCGUCAGAAGAAGCAACGGCUAACUCCGUGCCAGCAGCCGCGGUAAUUA
rnacentral:rRNA from 1 species